GAGGAAGUAAAAGUCGUAACAAGGUUUCCGUAAGUUUGAUGCUCUCAAUCUCGAAACAAUUGCUAACAACCAUCCAGGUAGGUGAACCUGCGGAAGGAUCAUUAAAAGUUGUACCCUUCGGGGCACUUCCACCCUUGCAAAUAUACAUCUGCUUGGUCUUCGGGCCAAAAUUUUACUCUUGAAUAUCUUUCUGAAUGAGACAAAAUAAAAAAAACUUUCAACAAUGGAUCUCUUGGUUCGAGCAUCGAUGAAGAACGCAGCGAAAUGCGAUAAUUAAUGUGAAUUGCAGAAUCCAGUGAAUCAUCGAGUUUUUGAACGCACAUUGCACCUUUUGGUAUUCCGAGAGGUAUGCUUGUUUGAGCGUCAUUACAUCUUCAGCAGCAGCUGGUUUUGUGUUUCCGACGGGAAGCAUCAAAUGUAUGACACAGACGUGAGCAGUAACUUACAAUUCUCACUAUCUGAACACUCCAUUCUUGACCUCAAAUCAAGCAAGAUUACCCGCUGAACUUAAGCAUAUCACAA
rnacentral:rRNA from 1 species